AGGAGAUCCUGGGGUUCGCUGUGCGAGACAUGUCGGCGGGGUUUCACGUGAGUGACACUUGGUCCCCACGGGAUUGACAGCGACUAGCGGAGUGGCAUGUGGACGUAGCUUCAGGUGACCUCACUGACCCCGCCCCUGACUCCACCCCUUGUGAUGACCCCACCACUGACCCACAGGCCUUGGAGGGGCUGAUCCUGGAGAAGUCAAAGGACCAGGAGGACGCCAUGGGGGGUGCUGUACAGGCUGAGCAGGAAGCAGAGCAGCACAGCGUCAUCAUGAGGGUAGCCAUCUUCACCUGGGGCAUCCACGGAGGCCCUGCCCAGGAAGUGACUUUCUCUCUACUGUAGGAGGAGCUGAUCCACGACUACUUGGACAACAGCACACCAGCGAAGGAUGGGGGAAGCUUCCAUGGCUGUCAGCUGCACCAGCGAAGUGACGUCACAUGACCUCAUUUGCAUGACCAGAGUCACUUUGCAUAAAUUAACAUAAACUAGUGAUCGAUCCCCCUUGAGUGCUGUGACCUCGACGUGACCCCUGACCUACCGCUGACCCCGGUGUGACCCCACAACCCCAAGGUGAUCCCUGACCUCCCCAUGACCCCAGCAACCUCGAAGUCACCAUGUAAUCCCACCAUGACCCUGACCCAACAGGGACAAGGCCUGGGGCCUCCGCCAUCCAUGCGUGGGGAGUGAUGCUGGUAGAGGGCAAAUUGGUGACGUCAUCAAUGCAGCGGGCUUCCCACUCAACCACUUUAGCCGCAAGCUUGCAAGGGCAGCUGCCAGAGACAGGAAGUGACAUCGCUGUGGAGAGGGCAGCAGGAAGUGAGGUCAGAGUGGGGGUGAUGGGAAGUAAUGUCAUGGGCUCAGGAAGUGAUGUGCUGCUGCUCUACAUGUGUACGUAUAUGCCUGGUCUGUGAUGCUGCAGAAUAUGUGUACAUGUGUGCUGGGUGUGGGAUGUACAUGUAUGCCUCAUGUUUGCCUGGUGUGUGAUGCCACUUUACAUGUGAUCCAGGUGUGAGAUGAUGCUGUACAUGUAUACAUGUGUACCUGGUGUGUGAUGCCAGUGCAUUGUGACUGGUGUGUGAUGCGGAUGCACAUGUGUGCUUGUUGUGUGAAGCUACUUCACAUGUACACAUGUGUGCCAGGUGAGUGAUGCUGUUUCCCCUGUGUAUAUGUAUGCCUGUUGUCUGAUGCUGCUUCACAUGUGUUCAUAUGCGUCUGUUGGGGGAUGCCGCUGGAUAUGUCUACCUUGUUUUUAAACUACAUUACAUGUGUGACCAGUGUUUGAUGCGACUCUACAUGUGUACACGUGUGCCUUGUGUAUGAUGCUGCUGCAAAUGUGUACACGUAUGUCUCGUGUGUGCUGCUGCAGCACAUGUAUACAUGUGUGCCUGAGUGUGCUGCUGCUGUACAUGUGAACAUGUGUGCCUUGUAUGUGAGGCUGCUGCACAUGUGUAUAUGUGUGCCUGGUAUCUGAGCUUGCUGUACGUGUGUACAUAUGUGGCUGGUGUGUGAUGACAGUGUACAUGUGUCCAUGUGUACCUGGUGUGUGUUGCUGCUGCCAUGUGCACAUGUGUGCCUGUUGUGUCAUGCUGCUGUGCAUGUGUACAUGUGUGCCUGAGUGUGCUGCUGCACAUGUGUACAUGUGUGCCUGGUAUGUGAUGUUGCUGCACAUGUGUUCAUGUUUGCUUGGUCUGUGAUGCCUCUGUACAUGUGUGCCUGUUGUAUGAUGCCACUUUCCAUGUGUAUGUGAUACCACUGUACAUGUGUGCUUGGUGUGUGAUUCUGCUGCACAUGUGUACAUACAUGUCUUGUGUGUGAUUUUGCUGCAUAUGUGUACAUGUGUGCCUUUUGUUUGAUGCUGCUAUACAUGUGGGCCUGGUGUGUGAUGCCACUUUACAGGUGUGCCGGGUGUGUGAUGUGACUGUAUAUGUGUCCAUGUAUGCCUGGUGUGUGAUUCUGAUGCACAUGUGUACAUUUGUGCCUGGUGUGUGCUGCUUCUGCAAAUGUGUACUUGUGAGCCUGGUGUGUGAUUCCAUUGUACAUGUGUUUGUGAUGCUUCUGCACCUGUGUUCCUGGUGUGUGAUGCUGCUUCACAUGUGUACAUGUGUGUCAUGUGUGUGAUGACAGUUUCCAUGUGUCCAUGUGUGUGUGUGUGUGAGGCUGCUGGACAUGUGUACAAGUGUGACUGGAGUGUGUAGCUGCAGCACAUGUGUACAUGUGUGUUUGUUGUGUGAUGCCUCUCUACAUGUGUACAUGUGAGCCUGUUGUGUGAUGCUGCUACACAUGUGUACAUGUUUGCCUGAUGUUUGAUGCUGCUGUUCAUGUGUGCCUGUCCUGUGUUGCCACUUUAUGUGUGCUCAGUGUGUUGACAUUAUACUUGUGUACAUGUGGGCCUGGUGUGUGCUGCUGCUGCACAUGCAUACAUGUGUGUCUGGUGUGUAAGGCUGCUGUUUAUGCGUACAUGUGUGCCUGAUAUCUAAAGCUGCUGCAGAUGUGUACAUGUGUGCCUGGUGUGAGAUGCCACUAUACAUCUGUACCUGCUAUGUGAUGCCAUAGCAGGUACAUGUGUGCUUGUUGUGUGUUGCUGCUGCACAGUUUUUCAUGUAUGCUGCUGCUGUACAUGUGUACAUGUGUGCCAGUUGUGUGAUGGUGCUGCACAUGUGUAUGUAUAUAAGGUGUGUGAUGCUGCUAUACAUUUGUGCCUGGUGUAUGAUGCCACUAUACAUGUGUAAAUUGUGUGCCUGGUGUGUGACGCUGCUGCACAUGUGUGCCGUGUGUGUGACAACAGUGUACAUAUUUUCAUGUGUACCUGGUGUGUGAUUCUGCUACAUAUGUGUACUAGUGUGACUGGUGUGUAUUGUUGCUGCACAUGUAUUUUAACUGUCUUUUUACAAGGAAAACAAGACAGUUUCGCCCAAUAGAUGUGAAUUUCUAAAUACAUUUAAAAGGUCUUUUUUGAAUGUUAUUUCCUUUAGUGGGCUACACUGUAAGUCAUUACUUUGAUGUAUUUUCAUAUGCACGUCUUAAAUAUAACUGUACAAUGCGAUAAAGUACCAAAAAUUGUUUUAACACAGACCCUGCAAUAAAAAGAGUUAAUCAUGAA
rnacentral:lncRNA from 1 species